AUUUUCCACGUGGAGCGGAAUUUCUCUUUGUCCUUUCACAACUACAUUGUUUUCAACUAAGCCACCUUAAAUCACGCAGAACAUUUUUAGCGAACGUUAAUGGAAAACGGCCUUAAGAGUGCAGUUAGUUAGUUAAAAAAAAUUCAGAUCAAUCAUAGGGUACCCCUGAAGAAUUCCAAACUCAAAACACUCUACCCCUGAAGAAUUCCAAGCUCAAAACACCCUAGCCCUGAAGAAUUCCAAGCUCAAAACACCCUACCCCUGAAGAAUUCCAAGCUCAAAACACUGUACCCCUGAAGAAUUCCAAGCUCAAAACACUUUACCCCUGAAGAAUUCCAAGCUCAAAACACUGUACCCCUGAAGAAUUCCAAGCUCAAAACACUGUACCCCUGAAGAAUUCCAAGCUCAAAACACUGUACCCCUGAAGAAUUCCAAGCUCAAAACACUGUACCCCUGAAGAAUUCCAAGCUCAAAACACCCUACCCCUGAAGAAUUCCAAGCUCAAAACACCCUACCCCUGAAGAAUUCCAAGCUCAAAACACUUUACCCCUGAAGAAUUCCAAGCUCAAAACACUGUACCCCUGAAGAAUUCCAAGCUCAAAACACUGUACCCCUGAAGAAUUCCAAGCUCGAAACACCUUACCCCUGAAGAAUUCCAAACUCAAAAUCAUUUACCCCUUAAGAAUUCCAAACUCAAAACACUGUACCCCUGAAGAAUUCCAAACUCAAAACACUGUACCCCUGAAGAAUUCCAAGCUCAAAACACUGUACCCCUGAAGAAUUCCAAGCUCAAAACACUGUACCCCUGAAGAAUUCCAAGCUCAAAACACUGUACCCCUGAAGAAUUCCAAGCUCAAAACACUGUACCCCUGAAGAAUUCCAAGCUCAAAACACUGUACCCCUGAAGAAUUCCAAGCUCAAAACACCCUACCCCUGAAGAAUUCCAAACUCAAAAUCCUUUACCCCUGAAG
rnacentral:lncRNA from 1 species